rnacentral:lncRNA from 1 species
GGGGUGUAAUAAGUUUUAACAAUUGCUCUAAGAGGUUAAAAAUCCGACGGCCCUCGAAGUUGAGCUAUAACCAGUACCAUAUAAGUUACCGCAUUUUACAACUACCACCAUCUUAUGCCUCUUUGCUAAGAUUAGAUCAAUCACAUGGCCAAUAGAUCUUCAAGUGGAAACGCAAGGAGGUGGAAUUCUCAUCAUGGUGGACAAUGGGGCAUUCAACUACUCAGCACAAAAUAAAAGAAAUACUGUAAAAGCUUGUAAUGAACUAAGCAACUAUCCAUGAAUUUCUUACCAACAACUUAUAACCGAUUUUUAAGCUAUGAGAACAAUGAAAUCAGGCGAUUGGAAAAUAGUUGCUCGAAAAAAAUAAGGAAAUACCUCACUGCAGGCUUCACUGUGCAACAGUAGUCAUCUACAAUGGGCACAACUGGAUCCCUAAACAAGCGCAUAACCACUUUCCUCAACGCUAUGGUACCUGGCAGUGGCCGAGCUUCUUCCACUGGCAUCAUGAUCCUCUCAAUAGGAUGAUCCUCUCAAUAGGUUGAUCCAGUGAUAUCUGAAAAAGGAAUAUAGAGUAAUACAGUGCAUGACUUUAAUUUACGGUGUCAAGACUAUGAAGCAUUGACUUAUGUUAGAACAUUUUAAAAACAGCACUUGGCGCAAUAUGGAAAAACAAAAGAAUAACGAUAGACAUCCCAAAUUGUAUCCCAAAAUCUCAUCCCAAAUGAUUUGGCAUGUGAUGUGUCAUAUCAAGUAAUAGGUAGAUUUUCGCGAUAAAUGAAUUAUUUAUAUAAUAAAACCAUCCACUUGGUGAAUGCCACAUUUUGGAUGAAGUUAUGAAAUACAAUUUUGGGAUGUCUAACACAACACAAAAUAAAAUUGGGUACCUGGGGAAGUAGGUAUGGGCUGAACAUUGAUUUCAUUAACCCCAAUAAGGCCUCUAUGCGAAUAGCAGCCUUCAUUACGAAGAUAUACAGAAGAAUCAGCAACAUGUUAAUGCAAUUUCAACCAAGAAAUCUGCACAAUUAACAUUGUAUUGACCAAAGUAAAAAAUAUGCAUUUCCAAAAAGGAUUCCCUACAAAAAAAAAAUUAAGCAAAAGUUACCAUGAAGAGCUACAAGCUGAUAACUUCAUCCCAUGAAGUAAUCUUUUAGCAAAUUGUCAUUUGAAAGAGUGAAAUUGACAUAUAAUGAAAGUAUGCUACAAGUUGCAUGAUUACCCAGGGUGAAUUUAAGAUAAGUGACACCAAAAUAUUUAGUACUUGUUAACUUUGUAUUAUUAUUCUCUUUUUUUAAAAAAGAAAAAUCUAUCUGUCACAUAACAUGUCUCCUCUGCUUGUCCAUCAUAUUCCCUUCCAUCUUGUGAUAGUAUUGGAAAGCUUAUCUAGAGCCAAGUCAACCUGACACGAAAAAACCCAAUAACCCAUAUUAAUUUACUAGCAUUCUCUAGGUUGUCCACAACAUAAAUACCAGCUGAGGUGAAGAGCCAUCACAACUAAAGAUAAAAGCAAUAUGGAUUACAUGCUUUAGUUGCAUGAAAGUAGUCUGGAAAUAAAAGAUAAAAUGAUGUAAAGGACACAAAGCAUAUAGGUGGAUCUAGUACCUGCCCAUCAUUUAAAGCUGCCUCCAUGAGAAGAUGACCAGCUUCUUCUUGAACUUCUGGGGAUAUAGUUCCGGUAGAAUCUGGCCACAUUCGUCUAUAAGGACUUUUGACUAUAUCAUAGUCAACUCUAGCAGCUAAUUCAUGCAUCAUAGAAACGUAAAGGUGAGGUUUUGGCCAGAGACCUGGAUUGCUGCACACCCGCUUUACGAUUUCUCCAAAUAUGCAAAGAGCAUAUAGUCCCACAACUAAUUUGUAGAAGGCAUGAGAAUUGGUGCACAUCUAUUAACGCAAAGAAACAAAGCCUUGUAUCCACUUCGAAUCUACAUGAAAAUAAGAGUUAGUCUAGUAUUUUAUUCAUCUAUUACUCAUGCAGCAAGGCAGUAGAACAGAUAGGAGCAUAAAAGAAGAACAGUUAGCUAAAAAAUGCAAAUGGCAUAAUCUUGGUGCAUUUUAUUUUCUCCAUAUUAUCUAUUCUUGGCAGAGUAAUAAAUCUAUUCAUAUUCAUUCUAUCCCAAUUCUCAAAUCAUUUAUUUUGCAUUAGCAACAUAAAUGCUCCUCUUAUGUACAUAUGGAGAAAGAAAUGUGGAUUGAGAUCAAAGUUGAGUUGCUUGAUAAUCCAACUAAAUACUGUCGAAGCUUCAAGUGCAGCCUGAUCCAACAAAUAACCUACUUACAAUAGCAAAGUUAGAAACAAAAUUAGUUGCAAUGUACCUUUAAUUGAGCCAGAAUAUAGCAAUGCAUCCACCAUUGCAGUAAAUGUGGAUCGAUCAAGAAUCAAGUUACAACAUGAUUUCAUCUCAAACACAAUUUCCAGAAGUGAUUGCAGAUCCUUGGCAUGCCUAAAGCCCUACCACCGAAAAGGUAUAAUCAUACAAGCGAGAAAAAAACUCUAACAAAGAAAAACAAACAAAACAAAUGAAAACACGAACACAGACCAUGAGUAAUGUGGCGUAAGUGAAGAUAUCAGGGUGAAAACCACCACUGCUACAUUUCUGUCCAUUGUCCUGUAUUAGAGAGAGAGAGAGAGAGAGAGAACACAAUCAAAAGCAAUAAUUUAAGUAAACCAAUCCAAUCCUAGUUAAACUUAAAAGUAUAUAGAGGCACAAAACUGGCCUUUCAAAUACAUGCUUGUGACCUUCAGUUGCUCAUUAAAAGGCAUUGUGACAUCCAACUUCUUAGUCUUGAUACAAGCAGAUAUUAGAAUAUUAUAGCUGAGACUGUCAGGCUCUAAUCCUACAUGUGACAUUUCAUCAUGCAGAUUUAUUACAACCUCAGGACAGCCAGCACUGAUAUGUCCCUGAAAGUAGUAAAACAAGACCUCUUAAACAACACAACUACUUUCCAAAAGUAGAUAUUUUCAACAACCAAAAACAGUAUCCUGUGUAUUUCUUGACUUGACAAGCUAAAAGCCAACAAGCACAGUACAUUUGUGUGCACUUGUGAAUAGUCUAGGCAUUCCCAAAAGUGUUUUCAGAUACCCAUUUGCUUUUGUAUCUGCUUCCAAGUGCUCAGUUGAAAGAAAUUAAAGUAUUUUUAGGGAAUCUCACAUACACUUGGAGUAUUUCUGGGAAGCAUUUCUUUUGAAAAGAAAAAUACUCCCAAACACACCCUUAGUCUUCAAAUUUACAAUUCCUUUUAAGAACCAUAAGACACAGCAAAACCUUCAUUAAUAGAUUGUAAAACAAGACUGAAGGAUUCCCUCCUUCAUGAAGCAGAAAACCAUAUUGUGCAAGAAGACCAUUAGAACGGCAUAAAUCUCAUGCACUACAGCAACGCACCAACUACAUUAUCAGUUAGCAUCGGUUUGAAGCUCAGAUCAACACAAAUAACCCAGAAAAAUAUCCACCGUUUGAAUUAUGAACCUAAAUUUUAUAUUAUUCAUGUUCAUAUAAUUGUUUCAACAUUUCAAGAUACGAACCUGCUUCAAUUAGAGCAUUUACUAGGCCACAAAUAAGCCGUGCAGACAGCUUAGGACUUCCCACAGCUGUUGCCUUUUUCCACUGACUCAAGUAUUUGAUAUGCUUCAUCAAUUCUCUGAGCCUCACCUAAACCCCAUCAUAAUAUCAAUAAUAAUAUUCACAUAUUCAGAAAUGAUGAUGUUUUCAGCACUAUCAGAAUGUUAAGGUAACUACAAAAUUAACCUUCAAUACGGUGCCGUAUGUGACACUAUCAACAGAGCAAUCAUCGGACUUUGACGUUUGGUCAAAUUUUAAGCACCGAGUCAAUUUCUCGGCAAUGAACGCGAAGCUUCAAUGACAGCGUUCAUCACUAUCGUGUUCAGCUUCCAGUGCUCUCGGUUCACAAUCUCAUUCUCCUCAAAAAUCUACACGAACAAAUUUCCAGUUUCAAAAUAUAAUUUCCUGCAAAUAGAAUGAAUUAAUUAUUUUUAAGGAGAAAAAAAUUGCCAGAUGGAGUUGCCUACGGCGAGUGAGCUGAAGGACGCGGGAGGUGAGUCGUUUAAGUUUGGGCGGUUUUUUCUUUAACGGCAUUUUGUUUAAGUGUCGACGUCGUUUCGGGAUGGAGGGAGAUGAGGAAACAACAGCAUUCGAAGAAAGUGAAGUUUGUAAUUGCGGAGUAGGAUGGCAAUGGAUUGGAUUUGACCCAAGAUCUACGUGAUUUAAAUUCAAUCGGAUCGGAUUUGGGUUAGUUUAAAAUGAAUUUGGAUCGGAUUUGGAUAUUGAUGUGUGGAUCUAAGACAGAUCUGGAGCAUGUUUAGAUCUAUCUUAAUAUCUAAAUCCAUAUUCAUAUCCACUUAUCUUUUAAUUUUAUUUUAUUUUAAAAGUUUCUUAACAAUUGUGGAAUUAUAAUGAUAAUAAAUUUUAUUCAUAGCAUAUUAGUGGUAUUUACCAUGUAUUUAAACUCUUAAAACUUAAAAGUUAGUUUUGUAAAUUUAAAGGUCAGUUAAGCCCAAAGCAUGUACAUGCAAUAUUCAAAUUGUAAGUCAAGUAAUACAACCUGGUAAUUUAUUUUAUUAUAUUGGCCAAAUAAUUUUUAAGGAAUAUAGUUAUUCAUAUAUUUAGUCAAAUAUGGUCAUAAUAAAAAUGACAUAAGGAUUGAAUAUAAAUCAUAUUUAAUUUAUAUGUCAUUAUCUAAUGUUGUAAGAAUAAAAGUAGGUGUGUCGUGAAUAUUAGAAUAAUGAAGGAGAUAAUAAAAUAUUAGAUUGAUCUUACUCCUGUAAUUACUUUUGAAUGAUAUUUUAUUAUCUUUCUUAUUUAUUAUUUUGGUGUAAAAGUAUAAGUUACAAUAUUUAUUAUAUUUUUGAGAAAAAAUUAUAUAAUUUAUUUGUUAUCAAUACAUUUUAGCCUUCAAUUUUCAUUCUAAAAAAAUAUUACUUUUUUAUUACUGAGUUUUAGAAUUCAUGAUGGAUUUAGAGCAGAUUUGAAUUUUAAUUUUUUUUCGGAUUUGGAGCAGAUAUAGAUAUUUAUUUCUUUUUUAGAUCUAGAUAUGGAACAAAAAAUAUGGAUUCAUGACGGAUCUGGAGCGGAUACGGAUCUUGAUUUUUAUUAUGGAUUUGGAUAUGGAGCAGAGUAGAUCCAACCCAUAUCUAACCCAUUGUCAUCCUUAUUGCGGAGGUGAGAGAGCGUAAAGCUGACGCAUCGCUGCUGGUGAGUGCUGUUGCCGCGUUGGUGAGGAGAAAGAGCUACCCAUUCGCCGUGCAGGGUAAGCAGUGUAUGGUGCGACAUGAUAGGAAACGAUGGGCAUCAACGUAUAAUGUUUAUGCUGGCAGCCGGUCCACAUUUAUGCUGGUAGCAAUUUUUCCUUUGAAAGCCUUGAAGGAAAACUGCGAGAUGCUUUAAAGUCAGAUCAUUGGUGGGCUUUGUUUACAUUUUAAAUCUGGGCCAUGCUUAAUCAGUGUGGGGGUUACGGACUGCCCUACAUCUGCCAAAAUUUAACACAAUAAGAGUAAUUGAAUAUAAAUUAUCAAAUUUAAUACAAUUAUUAAAUGAGUCACAUAUCGACACAAUUUUUUUUCUGUGUCAAGCUAGCGUUAAUGUUCUUAACUUGUUUGCCUUAACAAUAUCACAAUUAUAUUCUUUAUUUUAAAUUAAUUUAUAAGUCAAUGUUAUCAAAACUCAAAUAUUGGAUAUGAUUUUUUUUUAAAGGAUGAACAUAUACACAAUGUUUCAUUUAUAAAAUUUUAUGUAGAUUCAGAACUUCAAUAGUGUAAAUAUAUAAAAUAUUAGUAGACAUGUAUAU